rnacentral:rRNA from 1 species
CCUACGGGGGGCAGCAGUGAGGAAUAUUGGUCAAUGGGCGGAAGCCUGAACCAGCCAAGUCGCGUGAGGGAAUAAGGCCCUACGGGUCGUAAACCUCUUUUGCCGGGGAGCAAGGGCCGGGACGAGUCCCGGUCCGGAGAGUACCCGGAGAAAAAGCAUCGGCUAACUCCGUGCCAGCAGCCGCGGUAAUACGGAGGAUCCGAGCGUUAUCCGGAUUUAUUGGGUUUAAAGGGAGCGUAGGUGGACAGUUAAGUCAGUUGUGAAAGUUUGCGGCUCAACCGUAAAAUUGCAGUUGAUACUGGCUG